UACGUAGGUGGCAAGCGUUGUCCGGAAUUAUUGGGCGUAAAGCGCGCGCAGGCGGUCCUUUAAGUCUGAUGUGAAAGCCCACGGCUCAACCGUGGAGUGUCAUUGGAAACUGGGGGACUUGAGUACAGAAGAGAAGAGUGGAAUUCCACGUGUAGCGGUGAAAUGCGUAGAGAUGUGGAGGAACACCAGUGGCGAAGGCGACUCUUUGGUCUGUAACUGACGCUGAGGCGCGAAAGCGUGGGGAGCAAACAGG
rnacentral:rRNA from 1 species